UACGUAGGGACCGAGCGUUGUCCGGAUUCAUUGGGCGUAAAGAGCUCGUAGGCGGCCACUCAAGUCGAAUGUGAAACCUCGAGGCUCAACCUCGAGCCUGCAUUCGAUACUGGGCGGCUAGAGUCUGGUAGGGGGAUCUGGAAUUCCUGGUGUAGCGGUGGAAUGCGCAGAUAUCAGGAAGAACACCCGUGGCUAAGGCGGCUCUCUAGUACGGUACUGACGCUCAGGUGCGAAAGCGUGGGGAGCAAACAGG
rnacentral:rRNA from 1 species